CACACACACACACACACACACACACACAGCACUGUAAGCUGGACCAGACAGAAUACAGAUAGCUGUACUCAGACACCAGCAUACACAUGUCAGGGGAGUACACAGGUAACAGACACACAUUGUUUGUUCAGAAAUCUAGACUCCUUUAGGUUGCACAUGAAACAUAAUAUUGAUGUGUUGUCAUUGCACGCUCACCGAACUGCAAUCCAAAAUUGUUGCAUCACAUUGUUUCCCAAGAGAAUCAAGUUUCGUGAGAAAAAUGUCAACCACCUUCACUAUUAGGGGAUAUGUCAUGUGUGAAUCAACAAAGUCAUUUAGGUGAUAAUAUAAAAAGUAUAUUUCUGACUUUGGUGCUGUUGUUGAUGUUGUUGUUGUAGUGGUCCACAGGUCCCUGGUCCUGAGGAGAGGCAGCGAUGUCUUGGCGUGUGCCGUCAUUCUUCCAGAAUCCCCCUGGGCAGAGCAGACCUUCCCCAACGUCAUGUCUUUCAGCAGAUAUGACUUCCGCAAUAGGGUGGCAGAGGUCCUAGAGGUGAACAUGUCCAGGGUCACCAUCCUUCCAGGGUCUCCUCUGGCCACAGUGGACGGACCGUGCCAGAAAGUCAGCUUCCUUGUCUCAGGUACAGCCAGUAAUAGAGUGCUGUAUGUGAAUGGGUACAGCACAGUGAUUCACAAUAUUCUCUGAUCAAAGAAGAAAAAAUAAGAAACUUAUUAUGUCUCGGAAUUACGGAGGCAGUGGCACUUAAGACACAUUUAAAACAUGACAUUGGUAAUUCUUGUCUGUGCCCAUGCAAUUAUCCUUAUCCUUAUCCUUAUCCUUAUCUCUGGUACAGCUGAUGACAUACAGAAGUAUAUUGUUUGUCUAUGGUUCAGCGCAAUGAUGCCCAAUAUUCCUUUAUCAAAAUCUGACUGAAAGCGUGUUCUCUUUGAAUUUCAAAAGUUACAUUCUUUCCAAAUAAGACACAGACAAAUGUUCCAGCACAAACACUGAUAAUUGUGGCAAAGUCAAAACAUUACAGAAUGAAUUAUUGUCUGUGCCCAUGAUAAUAUACUAAGUCCCCUCUCCUGACCCUAAAACUGAACAGGGAGUAAGGUGUAACAAGGAAGAGUGUGGGUUGUGCUGAUGAAUCAGAUCAGCCUAUAACAUCUGACAGUGCAUGUGGGGGAAUUGUUUUAACAAUAACAAUAAAGUGUAAAGUCCCAGUGCAGUCGAAAAGUGAUAUUCCUGUGUUCUACAAUAUACAUUUUUCCUCUCCAUGAGGUUAAAAUAUAAUUAUGAUAAUGCUCUUUUAAUGUAAGAGCUGUUUGAAAAGACAGCCUGAAAUUCUUGCCUGUUUUAGUGGGAUGACGCUUUAGCCUGCCUGGUGAUAUCACCAGGUGGUAAAUUAGUUAAUAGACCAAUAAGAAAGAGUUCCAAAUCUUUCUGCCAAUAACAGCUAAUUUUCAUUUUUCAGCUCCCCACUCAGACCACUCCCAGACAGUCCUAGCAAAAUUCUAGCUUGAGAAAUUGCUCUUUGCUAUUUUUGACCAUUUUAAAUCACAGCAAGGUACUUAAUUGUUACCCAGAAAUGAUUUGAUAUUGAGAUAAAACUGCUGCAUUGGAGCUUUAAGCACUUGUGAGGGAGAUCCCCUAGAGCUUAUAGUCUAAGAGCCUACAGCGUCUUCAGAAAAACAAUAAAGUAUCUUACUCAGUGAGUCAUUGAAAGUAGUGAGAAGCUAGCCACCCAUAUUCAGAAGUGGUUUCAGGACAGGUUCACUGCAGAGGUGUUGAAGCGAUGACAGCAAUUCAAGUAAGAAUGACAGCUACUGCACAUUGUUGUCCCUCAUUUUAAGGUAAACGUCAGUUCAAGUCAAAUACUAACAGUGACAAUACAGUGUAGGUCUAUCACCAGUCUAACGUUAUAUUGGAAAGAUCAAAUCAAUUGUUAUUGGUCACAUACAGAUGUUAGCAGGUGUUAUUGCGAGUGUAGCGAAAUGCUUGUACUUCUAGUUCCGACAGUGCGGCAAUAUCUAACAAGUAAUCUUAACAUUCCACAACAACUACCUAAUACACACAAAUAUAAGUAAAGGAAUUGAAUAGAAUAUAUACAUAUACAUGUUUGGAUGAGCAAUGACUGAGCAGCAUAGGCAAGAUGCAAUUGAUGGUAUAAAAUAAAGUAUAUACAUAUGAGAUGAGUAAUGCAAGAUAUGUAAACAUUAUUAAGGUGGCAUUAUUAAAGUGACUAGUGAUCCAUUUAUUAAAGUGGCCAAUGAUUUCAAGUCUGUAUGUAGGCAGCAGCCUUUCUGAGGUUAGUGAUGGCUGUUUAGCAGUCUGAUGGCCUUGAGAUAGAAGCUAUUUUUCAGUCUCUCGGUCCCAACUUUGAUGCACCUGUACUGACCUCGCCUUCUGGAUGGUAGCGGGGUGAACAGGUAGUGGCUCGGGUGGUUGUUGUCCUUGAUGAUCUUUUUGGCCUUCCUGUUACAUCGGGUGCUGUAGGUGUCCUGGAGGGCAUGUAGUUUGCCCCUGGUGAUGCGUUGUGCAAACCGCACCACCCUCUUGAGAGCCCUGCGGUGGUUGUGGGCGGAGCAGUUGCCGUACCAGGCAGUGAUACAGCCCGACAGGAUGCUCUCAAUUGUGCAUCUGUAAAAGUUUGUGAGGGUUUUUGGUGACAAGCCAAAUUUCUUCAGCCUCCUGAAGUGCAAGAUCAUCUCCUUUGUUUUGUUGACGUUGGGUGAGAGGUUGUUUUCCUGACACCACACUCCGAGUGCCGGCAUCUCCACCAUAUAGGCUGUCUCGUCAUUGUUGGUAAUCAAGCCUACUACUG
rnacentral:lncRNA from 13 species